AUACACUUUUGUUUUCCUCAAUUUGUAUCAAUCUUUUUGCAGAAGGUAGUGUUGAAGAUAAUGACAAUGAAUGAUGAGAAGACAAAGCAGAAAGCAAUAGAAGCUGCCGCUGAUAUCUAUGGAGUAGAUUCAAUCGCAGCUGAUCUGAACGAGCAUAAGCUGACUGUUAUUGGAGAUAUGGAUCCAGUUGCUGUAGCUAAAAAACUCAAGAAAAUAGGAAAAGUUGAAAUGUUAGCAGUUGGCCCGGCAAAAGAAGAAUAGAAAGAGGAAAAAAUAGAGGAAAAGAAAGGAUAGAAGCAAAUUAAGCAAUUCCAUGAUGCUAUAGCUUACAGUGAAAUGCGUAUGGAUGGUUUAGAACAAAAAAUUUUCAAUAAAAAUUUAAAAACCAGUCAGUUAUAUAAAUCUCAAUUAUAGUUUAUUGAUUACAGGAUGAAAUUUUGUAUCUCUCUCAAAAUUUAAUCGGCUAAUAAUAACACUGUAAGAUGUUAAA